rnacentral:rRNA from 1 species
UACGUAGGGGGCUAGCGUUGCUCGGAAUUACUGGGCGUAAAGGGCGCGUAGGCGGCGCAAGCAGUCAGGCGUGAAAUUCCUGGGCUUAACCUGGGGGCUGCGCUUGAUACGCUUGUGCUAGAGGAUGGAAGAGGCUCGUGGAAUUCCCAGUGUAGAGGUGAAAUUCGUAGAUAUUGGGAAGAACACCGGUGGCGAAGGCGGCGAGCUGGUCCAUUACUGACGCUGAGGCGCGACAGCGUGGGGAGCAAACAGG